CUGGCUGCUUUUCAAAACACAUAUGAAAAGACUGUAAUAUAUUUAAUUUUGAAUAGUUAGCUAAACAUCCCAGAAUUUUGAUUAUCAGAGGGAAUGACUCACUGGCUGCUCUGAAGUGCUUGGUCCACAACGAGCCAUUUUCUAUAUUCGACACCCUGACCAUAUUUCAGCUUCUAUACCAUGGAAACACAGUUUUCACACCAAGAACGAUGUCCUCUCUGCUGUCCUAGACUUUACGAGGAUGGAGUGUCAUUGUCACCUUCCUUUCUCCACAGCAGCUCCUUUUAACCCCCAAUAGGCCUCUGUCCUCCCUGGUACUCAGGUGUAAGAUGUCAAUAUUUUUUCUCCUUUUCCCCUUUUCUCCAGUGAUCACCUCCUUUUCCAAUAUAUUAUUUUCCCCUGUCUUUCUCCAGUUUCACUGCUGUUGCUCCAGGUCCUCACACUCUCUGAAUCUUUGUGAAGCCCUCUAACUGGCUUAUUGACACCUCCAGUUUCUUCUCCUUGUUACCCACCCUGUACUCAAUGAAAGAUUUAUUUUCUAAAAAUA